AUUGAACGCUGGCGGCAGGCCUAACACAUGCAAGUCGAACGAGUGGCGGACGUGUGAGUAAUGUCUGUGAAACUGCCUGAUGGAGGGGGAUAACUACUGGUAACGGUAGCUAAUACCGCAUACCCUCAGUUGUGCCCAGAUGGGAUUAGCUAGUUGGUGGGGUAACGGCUCACCAAGGCGACGAUCCCUAGCUGGUCUGAGAGGUAGACCAGCCACACUGGAACUGAGACACGGUCCAGACUCCUACGGGAGGCAGCAGUGGGGAAUAUUGCACAAUGGGCGCAAGCCUGAUGCAGCCAUGCCGCGUGUAUGAAGAAGGCAUUCGGGUUGUAAAGUACUUUCAGCGGGGAGGCGUUACCCGCAGAAGAAGCACAGGCGAACUCCGUGCCAGCCGCCGCGGUAAUUC
rnacentral:rRNA from 1 species